CCGCCCGCCCGCCGCCGCCGCCGCCGCCGCGGCUGCCGCAUUCCUGCACUGAUAAGACAGAAAUAGUCCGGCGGCCCGGGGUCUGCCUGUUGACUCGGCGGGGACGGGGCCGCCUGCCUUUCCAAGCCCGCUGUCCAAACAGCGCAGAUAAGCGGCGAGGCGCGCCGACCAGCCCGGCCGCGGGCGCUGGGCAGCAGUGCUGCAGCCCGAAGCCGCCGAGGCCCGCGGGAGGCGGCGCGGGGAGGGGACGCCAGGGGAGGCGGCGGGGGGUCGCCGGCCACCGGCUCUCGCCACAAAUAGUUUCUCCGUCAGGGAAUUCGCCGGCCGCGCCAGGCAGGGAACAGUCAGUUCCAACUUUUCCCCCAGCGGCUCCUGCUGCAUUUCUGAGGCCCUUUCCCCAGAGACCUGGCAGGCCGAGCAGGGAAACAUUCGCUGGCAGGAACCGGGGGAGCCCGGCCCGCGAGGCCUCGCGCCUGCCCGGGGCCGGCGGCGGUGGGUGUGCCCGGGCGGCGGCGUGGCCCUGCGUCCACUGCUGUGUGUGCCCUUGUCUCACACGCCGUGUGUGUCCGCGCCCUUUUGUGGCGUGGCAGCUUAUGUGCGUGCAGACAGACGCCCUGUAUGUGUGCCUCCCUCCACGACAGCCUCCGUGCGCGCGCGCCUGCGUGUGUGGCAGGACAUGGCCUGUGCCUUUCAGCUCUGUGAGAGGCUAUUUCUGGAUGCUGGCUGCAUCCAGAUGUUGGCUGCCAGGGAUCUGGGGGGCAGCCUUGUGGCUUCUGGUCGACUUGGGAUCUGCUCAUGUCGGGCCAUGUGGCCCGGGGAAUGCCGUUUCCUCCCUGGAGCUCUGUCCUCAUCUGUGACAUGAGGGUGCUGCUGCCUUCCCUCCAACCUCUGCCUCUGGAAAUGCUGGCAAGGCACAGAGUGCUGCCCGCUUCACCAGGGCUUUGGGCCAGCGCCCUGCCUCUUCCACCCUGCCUGGUGUGGGGAGGCCUUUGGCCACCCUGCUAGCUGUCUCCACGUGUGUCCUGUGUUCCCCAGGCCCCAGCCCUCCUCUUUCUUAGUGAGGGGAGCCCCAUUCUGGUACCUCCAAUUCUCCUCUCUGUCUUUUGCAGCUAAUAGCUCCCCAUGACAGUGUCAGGGCAAUCCUAGUGGCCCAGCGUCCUGCCCCUCACCUCGGGAAGCUUCUGAGGACUUGUGAGGCAGGAACGGGCCUCAGCUACUGCUCUGAACAGGUGUUUAGGGGGAUUCCUGCCAAUCACUGCAUUCUGGGGUCUGGGUGUCACCGGAGUGAAGAGAAGUGAAUAGUUAACAAAAAGUCCAUCUGCAUUUCUAAACAAAUUUUUGGGAAUAUUAAAUCAAAUGGCAGCGGGCAGUGGGAUGUGUAAAUAAAACCCCCGUGGAAGUGCUGCGCGGACUCGUCGCCCGGCUGUCCUUGCAGGUCUGACACUGCACCUUCCACUCUGCACCACGGGGCCAGGGGAGCCCUCGACCUGCCCUCGGCCUUGAGGGCACCAGGUUCAAUCUCAUGCUGCCCUUUAUCCCCAAUUGCAUCAGUCACCACAGAAAGCCCCAGACCCCCUCAACUCCUGCACUUUGAGCCCCACAAGGCCCUAGACCCUCCUACAGUUGCCAUCUCUCCCCAGCCCCUGAAACCCUCCUACUGUGUUGUCUGUCCUAAGGAACAUUUCCAACAUGCUCCACCUCUUCUGGAAGCAUCCUCUUUGCCUUCCAGAAGCAGAUGCCAGGCUCCCUUCCAGCAGUGGCUCGACCACUGGCCUAAGGCUUGUGCCCGUUUUCCCCUUCACUGAGAAAAAAGAAGCUUCCGAAGAACUUCCAGAGCCUCCCACCACACCCUCUGCCUGCCAGCAGCUGAUCCCGUUCCUCCAGAUGAGCUAUCUGUGUUCCCGACUACAGCCAGCCGUGCCUCCGUGUGCCAGCUCCGUCCCUCCUCCACACCAAGGACACUGCUCCAGCAAUUCUCUCCCACACCAUCAUUUCAUCAACAUUCCCCUCUUCCCUGGAGUUCCCCCAGCAGCAUGCACAAGUACUGUUACAUCCCCAUUGGAAUAAGCGCUCUUCUUUCAUUUUUUAUUACUUUUUAAAAAAUAGAGGCAAAAUCUCACUAUGUUGCUUGGG
rnacentral:lncRNA from 1 species